UACAGAGGGGGCAAGCGUUGUUCGGAAUUACUGGGCGUAAAGGGCGCGUAGGCGGCCUUCUAAGUCGGACGUGAAAUCCCUCGGCUUAACCGAGGAACUGCGUCCGAUACUGAAAGGCUUGAAUCCGGGAGAGGGAUGUGGAAUUCCAGGUGUAGCGGUGAAAUGCGUAGAUAUCUGGAGGAACACCGGUGGCGAAGGCGGCAUCCUGGACCGGCAUUGACGCUGAGGCGCGAAAGCCAGGGGAGCAAAGCGGG
rnacentral:rRNA from 1 species